rnacentral:rRNA from 1 species
CCCUUAGAUGUCCUGGGCUGCACGCGCGCUACACUGAUGUGUCCAGUAAGCACCUAACCUCUUCCGAAAGGAACGGGUAACCUUUGCAAAGCACAUCGUGAUGGGGAUAGAUUAUUGCAAUUAUUAGUCUUGAACGAGGAAUUCCUAGUAAGCACUAGUCAUCAGCUUGUGUUGAUUACGUCCCUGCCCUUUGUACACACCGCCCGUCGCUCCUACCGAUUGAAUGUUCCGGUGAGCUCUUCGGACUGCGCGGUCUGCAGUUUCUGCGUUCCGUGCGGAAAGUUGCGCAAACCUUAACAUUUAGAGGAAGGAGAAGUCGUAACA